rnacentral:lncRNA from 1 species
AUACAUGGUUUGACUAAAUAUUAAUUCUAUAGAUGAGUUAGGUCCUGAACUUAAAUCUGAAAUUACUGAAGAGAGAUUAGACAUGUUAAUCAGGUUGGGCUAUAUUGUGUUGCAUAAUAAACUCCCAAUAGCAGUGACAAAACAAAACAAAACAAAAGUCCAUUUUUCUUUCAAGGUACACAUCCUUGGAAAAUUAUCUGAGAGACUAAGAGUAGAGUCAGAAAAGCCACCUUCUGGAACAUUAUAUUAAUCAUGCCAGAACCAUGGGAAAUGCAAUCAGACAAGGCACCCAAGAGGUGGAGAGCAGAAAAUCUUUAUCCCUGAUGGCUUCCUCUUUGAGAUCCUGUGACAUCCACAACUUACAGAAACUGUAUUCCAUGUCUUCCUUCCAGGUGGAUGGGGUGCGGAAAGAGAUUUGCCAUUCAUCAGAUAUGAAGAGUGGGCCAGACCACAGCCAAGAGUCCAGAACUCAAUGCAUAUUUCCCAUGAGGGUGGAAGGGACCUACGUACUUUAG